AUUGGCAAUAGGCAGGUGCACCGCGGCUCAGGUUAAUAUAACUCCCUCAUUGUUCUGUCUGAAGUUAGCCGCGCCUACCUACCACAUGGUCUACAUCUGAGCUGGAGUACUUCCUGAUCUACAUACACAUCUACAUGAGACUGUGUCUACGCAUUGAAAACUGCAUAGGACUACACAUCCAUCCCAGAACGAGAGCAAUGUUGAGAAGAACGGCUCUCACUUGGGGAUUCCAAGGAGAAUGAUCCUGAGAUAAGAUGAACCAAGACUCCUGAAGUGCCACCACCAACAAUGGCUGAGCUGCUACAACUUUGAGGAGUCGCCACGCCACAGUUAGCACACCUGAGCAUUCCCUUUUGUCAGACUUCCCGGGAAGUGUGAAAACCUACAGAGUACUCAGAAAUGUUGUUGAAAGUGGUGGGCCUACAACCAAACAUAUAAAUCACAUGUAAAUAAGGGAUGUUUGUGUGGGCAACAAACUUGUGUGAGAAACAAUAUUUGUGCAUUCUUUAUCUAGCAUAUAGGCAUCAUUAUUUUACUUUUGGAAUGGUUUUCAAAUGAUUUACUAAGCUGUUAUCCUUUUCUGGAUAUCUAUACUAUUGACAGCUUUCACUUCAAAUUAGCAGACCUACAGUUGGGUAUUUUUCCAGAAAAAUGGAUGGACUACUCUGAUGAAAAUACAGUACAAAACAAGUCAGUCUGAUUACACAGAUAAGGUCAAAUAAAGUUUUACUAGAGAGAUAAACAAAAAUACAAGGUAAUUUCUGUGACCUUCUCCCAAAAAUAUAAUGCACAGUAAGGCAUGUGUCAAACUCAUUCCAUGGAGGGCUGAGUGUAUGUGGGUUUUCGCUCCUCCCUUGUACUUGAUUGAUUGAUUAAUUAAGGUCACCAAUUAGUAAAGAACUUCCCUCAACUGGUUGUCUUAAAUGAAAGGAAAAACCCAAUACCUGCAGACAUUAAACCCUCCAUGGAAUGUGUUUGACACCCCUGGUGUAAGGUACUGUAUUGAUACCACCCAGACUGGGGGGAAAUAAUAAUCACAAAAAAAAAUAUUUACAAAGAUAUCGCCAAAUGAAAUAUUUUUCAUAAUUGAGAUCCAAAUGAAGAAUAAAGUACAGUGUAGUGGUGGAAAGUUCAACUGUUAUGUAAACAUGCUUGUUAAUAAAUACAUGGAAUAGUGCAGCGGUGAAAUGGCAGCAGUUGUUUGUCGUAGAAGGUGUAGAAGUCUCCCUGCAAUUCAGGCAGUUGCACCAGCGAGGUUGUCCGUGGUCUGGGAUGUCUGGAGACCCUGGGAUGCCUCUCCAGUACUCAAAAAUCACUCAACGUAUACUGGAAGUAACCAGAUCAAGUACCUCUCCCCUUUCUUCCAAGGACAGUCCUUGUAAUUUAGCCUGUAAUGAUAAAAAAAAGCAACAUAAAAUUACAGAAUGAAACCAAA